CUGGCUCAGGAUGAACGCUGGCGGCGUGCCUAACACAUGCAAGUCGAACGAAGCGAUUAAGAUGAAGUUUUCGGAUGGAAUCUUGAUUGACUGAGUGGCGGAC
rnacentral:rRNA from 1 species